rnacentral:rRNA from 1 species
GACGAACGCUGGCGGCGUGCUUAACACAUGCAAGUCGAACGCUGAAGCUUGGUGCUUGCACUGGGUGGAUGAGUGGCGAACGGGUGAGUAAUACGUGAGUAACCUGCCCUUGACUCUGGGAUAAGCCUUGGAAACUGGGUCUAAUACUGGAUACGACCUUUCACCGCAUGGUUGUGUGUGGAAAGGGUUUUACUGGUUUUGGAUGGGCUCACGGCCUAUCAGCUUGUUGGUGGGGUAAUGGCUCACCAAGGCGACGACGGGUAGCCGGCCUGAGAGGGUGACCGGCCACACUGGGACUGAGACACGGCCCAGACUCCUACGGGAGGCAGCAGUGGGGAAUAUUGCACAAUGGGCGGAAGCCUGAUGCAGCGACGCCGCGUGAGGGAUGACGGCCUUCGGGUUGUAAACCUCUUUCAGCACGGAAGAAGCGAAAGUGACGGUACGUGCAGAAGAAGCGCCGGCUAACUACGUG